AUAAAGUUGGCUGCCACCUCCCGCUGUUUUCAGUGAGGUUGAAGUCAUGCCCUCAGGCACCAUACCUGUGCUGCAUCAUGGUCUGGGGGCUAGACGGGACAUGCCAGGAACUGUGAGGCGCAACAGCGACGCUGUGAAAGUUGGCCCAGAAUGGGAAGGGACUGUACCCUGGAAAGGUUUUGGACUGUGUGAUCCGGCUGGUGGGCUGAGCCACAGAAGACCUGCAGAAGUAGGCUGACAGCCUCCUGGGAGCUGAAGAGUGGUAGUACUAUGUCUGGAUCCUAGGGGGUGCUCAAAAAGGAGUCUAUCUGGAGGCUGCUGACCUGAAUUCACGUUGGGCCAAGGUGGCACUG